GCUCCUGUGGCACAGUCGGUUAGCGCGUCGUACUUAUAGGCAGUACGGGCGUGUCCCGCGGGCGCCAUGAAAUGCGAAGGUCGAGAGUUCUAUCCUCUCCAGGAGCA
rfam:Nematostella vectensis strain CH2 x CH6 NEMVEscaffold_221_Cont19514, whole genome shotgun sequence.